rnacentral:rRNA from 1 species
GACGAACGCUGGCGGCGUGCUUAACACAUGCAAGUCGAACGGAAAGGCCCUGCUUGCAGGGUACUCGAGUGGCGAACGGGUGAGUAACACGUGGGUGAUCUGCCCUGCACUUCGGGAUAAGCCUGGGAAACUGGGUCUAAUACCGGAUAGGAGCCAUUUUUAGUGUGAUGGUUGGAAAGUUUUUUCGGUGUAGGAUGAGCUCGCGGCCUAUCAGCUUGUUGGUGGGGUAAUGGCCUACCAAGGCGGCGACGGGUAGCCGGCCUGAGAGGGUGGACGGCCACAUUGGGACUGAGAUACGGCCCAGACUCCUACGGGAGGCAGCAGUGGGGAAUAUUGCACAAGGGGCGCAAGCCUGAUGCAGCGACGCCGCGUGGGGGAUGACGGCCUUCGGGUUGUAAAUUCCUUUCGCUAGGGACGAAGCUUUUUGUGACGGUACCUAGAUAAGAAGCACCGGCUAACUACGUG